rnacentral:rRNA from 1 species
UACGAAGGGGGCUAGCGUUGUUCGGAAUUACUGGGCGUAAAGCGUAUGUAGGCGGAUCGUUAAGUCGGGGGUGAAAUCCCGAGGCUCAACCUCGGAACUGCCUUCGAUACUGGCGAUCUUCGAGUCCGGGAGAGGUGAGUGGAACUCCGAGUGUAGAGGUGAAAUUCGUAGAUAUUCGGAAGAACACCAGUGGCGAAGGCGGCUCACUGGCCCGGUACUGACGCUGAGGUGCGAAAGCGUGGGGAGCGAACAGG